AUGACUAUCAUCGAAGGCCAGGUCUCUACGGCGACAAUGACGAUGGAGCAGAUGCAGUCCACCCUUGGUGAUCUCAUUAUUGGCCUCACCAAGACCUCAGAAACGCUUAACAACACAGCUGAUACGGUAACCCAAACAGCGACGAGCUGUCAAGCGCUGCAAAUCACCACCGAGCGGCUUCUCAAGGCUAAUGAAAAUGUCUCCAACAAGGUGGCCAGCUUGGAGACUCAAGUCGAGGGGUUCAGUGUGCGUCUUACCUCAUUGGAAGGCACUAUAGCUACUGCUACACGAACUCCUGGCCCAGGUGGGCGCCGUGAAGAAUUUGCAAACCAGGACAAUGCUCAAGGGCAUGUCCUGGGCAAUGGUGCGUUUCGCCUCUCUCAAAACCAGCAUGAAUCUGGUCCAUCUCAUCUCCGUACUGCACUACAUGAGGAUAAUUUGGGUUUUAGGCAUGAUAGGAAUACUAGAGAUCAGUAUCGUGAUUUUCAUAUGCCCAAAACUUCAUUCCCUAAGUUUGAUGGUACAGACCCAAAGAUAUGGAAAGAUAAGGCUGAAAAGUAUUUCCAUAUGCUUCAUGUCCCUGAAGACUAUAAAGUGGACUAUGCAACAUUACAUUUCAUUAAUACAGCAGCUAUGUGGCUUCAGACCUACGAAGCCAACCAUGACAUCAAUAGUUGGCCUCAAUUGUGUGUUGCUGUGUGUCAGAAAUUUGGUAAGGAUUUGUACUACACCAAUAUGACUAAAACACUAGAAAUUAGACAAACAGGUGAUGUCGAGAGUUACCAUAGGGAAUUUGAGUUACUCAUGCAUCAGUUGCUUACACACAACUCUGCUCUUGAUGAUACCUUUUUUGUAACAAAGUUUCUUAAAGGAUUAAAAAAAGAGAUUAGUUCCGCUUUGGUUUUGCAUAAACCAAGGACAGUUGAUGCGGCUAUUUCUCUGGCCUUAUUGCAGGAAGCUCAGUUAAAUGAUUACCGCCGUCCUCGUUAUGAACCUAAGAAAUGGCAUAACCAGGCUGGACCAGGAAAAUUGGGACCUCAUCCUGCUGAAGCAGAUGUUAGUGAAGGGGCUGCAAAACGGACAGAAGCUAAAGCUGCUACUGUACAGCUUGCCAAACUGAAAGCUCAGCGACGUGCCCGUGGUGAGUGCUUCAAGUGUGGAGGGAAAUAUGCACCGGGUCAUAAAUGCCCUCAACAAGUGUCUUUAUCGGUUGUUGAAGAAUUAUGUCAAGCUUUGCAAGUGGAAGCUGAGUCUGAAAGUGAUGCAAAGCCCAUAGAGUCGGAUAGUGAUACUAGUGAGGAAGUUUUCAGUUUGUCAGCUGCAGCGACACAAGGUACUACUGGAAAGAAAACACUUCGUCUGCAAGGCUACAUUGGCAAGUGCCAAGUACUGAUUUUGGUCGACUCGGGAAGUUCUGGAAAUUUUAUUAAUUCAAAUGUGGUUGAAGCUCUUCAAAUUCCUGUACAACAAUUAUCUCCUGUUCGAGUGGCUAUUGCUGACGGCUCCACUAUGCUAAGCAACAUUGGCAUUUCAGGGCUAACAUGGGCAUCCAACAACAUAAGUUCACAGCUGAUAUGCGCGUGUUGGCGUUGCAAGGAUAUGACAUCAUUUUAG
rnacentral:rRNA from 1 species